rnacentral:rRNA from 2 species
CACACUAUCAUUAACUGAAUCCAUAGGUUAAUGAGGCGAACCGGGGGAACUGAAACAUCUAAGUACCCCGAGGAAAAGAAAUCAACCGAGAUUCCCCCAGUAGCGGCGAGCGAACGGGGAGGAGCCCAGAGCCUGAAUCAGUGUGUGUGUUAGUGGAAGCGUCUGGAAAGGCGUGCGAUACAGGGUGACAGCCCCGUACACAAAAAUGCACAUAUUGUGAGCUCGAUGAGUAGGGCGGGACACGUGGUAUCCUGUCUGAAUAUGGGGGGACCAUCCUCCAAGGCUAAAUACUCCUGACUGACCGAUAGUGAACCAGUACCGUGAGGGAAAGGCGAAAAGAACCCCGGCGAGGGGAGUGAAAAAGAACCUGAAACCGUGUACGUACAAGCAGUGGGAGCCUCUUUAUGGGGUGACUGCGUACCUUUUGUAUAAUGGGUCAGCGACUUAUAUUCUGUAGCAAGGUUAACCGAAUAGGGGAGCCGAAGGGAAACCGAGUCUUAACUGGGCGUUAAGUUGCAGGGUAUAGACCCGAAACCCGGUGAUCUAGCCAUGGGCAGGUUGAAGGUUGGGUAACACUAACUGGAGGACCGAACCGACUAAUGUUGAAAAAUUAGCGGAUGACUUGUGGCUGGGGGUGAAAGGCCAAUCAAACCGGGAGAUAGCUGGUUCUCCCCGAAAGCUAUUUAGGUAGCGCCUCGUGAAUUCAUCUCCGGGGGUAGAGCACUGUUUCGGCAAGGGGGUCAUCCCGACUUACCAACCCGAUGCAAACUGCGAAUACCGGAGAAUGUUAUCACGGGAGACACACGGCGGGUGCUAACGUCCGUCGUGAAGAGGGAAACAACCCAGACCGCCAGCUAAGGUCCCAAAGUCAUGGUUAAGUGGGAAACGAUGUGGGAAGGCCCAGACAGCCAGGAUGUUGGCUUAGAAGCAGCCAUCAUUUAAAGAAAGCGUAAUAGCUCACUGGUCGAGUCGGCCUGCGCGGAAGAUGUAACGGGGCUAAACCAUGCACCGAAGCUGCGGCAGCGACACUAUGUGUUGUUGGGUAGGGGAGCGUUCUGUAAGCCUGUGAAGGUGGCCUGUGAGGGUUGCUGGAGGUAUCAGAAGUGCGAAUGCUGACAUAAGUAACGAUAAAGCGGGUGAAAAGCCCGCUCGCCGGAAGACCAAGGGUUCCUGUCCAACGUUAAUCGGGGCAGGGUGAGUCGACCCCUAAGGCGAGGCCGAAAGGCGUAGUCGAUGGGAAACAGGUUAAUAUUCCUGUACUUGGUGUUACUGCGAAGGGGGGACGGAGAAGGCUAUGUUGGCCGGGCGACGGUUGUCCCGGUUUAAGCGUGUAGGCUGGUUUUCCAGGCAAAUCCGGAAAACCAAGGCUGAGGCGUGAUGACGAGGCACUACGGUGCUGAAGCGACAAAUGCCCUGCUUCCAGGAAAAGCCUCUAAGCAUCAGGUAACAUCAAAUCGUACCCCAAACCGACACAGGUGGUCAGGUAGAGAAUACCAAGGCGCUUGAGAGAACUCGGGUGAAGGAACUAGGCAAAAUGGUGCCGUAACUUCGGGAGAAGGCACGCUGAUAUGUAGGUGAAGCGACUUGCUCGUGGAGCUGAAAUCAGUCGAAGAUACCAGCUGGCUGCAACUGUUUAUUAAAAACACAGCACUGUGCAAACACGAAAGUGGACGUAUACGGUGUGACGCCUGCCCGGUGCCGGAAGGUUAAUUGAUGGGGUUAGCGGUAACGCGAAGCUCUUGAUCGAAGCCCCGGUAAACGGCGGCCGUAACUAUAACGGUCCUAAGGUAGCGAAAUUCCUUGUCGGGUAAGUUCCGACCUGCACGAAUGGCGUAAUGAUGGCCAGGCUGUCUCCACCCGAGACUCAGUGAAAUUGAACUCGCUGUGAAGAUGCAGUGUACCCGCGGCAAGACGGAAAGACCCCGUGAACCUUUACUAUAGCUUGACACUGAACAUUGAGCCUUGAUGUGUAGGAUAGGUGGGAGGCUUUGAAGUGUGGACGCCAGUCUGCAUGGAGCCGACCUUGAAAUACCACCCUUUAAUGUUUGAUGUUCUAACGUUGGCCCGUAAUCCGGGUUGCGGACAGUGUCUGGUGGGUAGUUUGACUGGGGCGGUCUCCUCCUAAAGAGUAACGGAGGAGCACGAAGGUUGGCUAAUCCUGGUCGGACAUCAGGAGGUUAGUGCAAUGGCAUAAGCCAGCUUGACUGCGAGCGUGACGGCGCGAGCAGGUGCGAAAGCAGGUCAUAGUGAUCCGGUGGUUCUGAAUGGAAGGGCCAUCGCUCAACGGAUAAAAGGUACUCCGGGGAUAACAGGCUGAUACCGCCCAAGAGUUCAUAUCGACGGCGGUGUUUGGCACCUCGAUGUCGGCUCAUCACAUCCUGGGGCUGAAGUAGGUCCCAAGGGUAUGGCUGUUCGCCAUUUAAAGUGGUACGCGAGCUGGGUUUAGAACGUCGUGAGACAGUUCGGUCCCUAUCUGCCGUGGGCGCUGGAGAACUGAGGGGGGCUGCUCCUAGUACGAGAGGACCGGAGUGGACGCAUCACUGGUGUUCGGGUUGUCAUGCCAAUGGCACUGCCCGGUAGCUAAAUGCGGAAGAGAUAAGUGCUGAAAGCAUCUAAGCACGAAACUUGCCCCGAGAUGAGUUCUCCCUGACUCCUUGAGAGUCCUGAAGGAACGUUGAAGACGACGACGUUGAUAGGCCGGGUGUGUAAGCGCAGCGAUGCGUUGAGCUAACCGGUACUAAUGAACCGUGAGGCUUAACCUU